rnacentral:tRNA from 1 species
GGUGGCUCAGUGGUAGAGUGCUUGCCUUUUAUGCAUAAGGUCCUGGGUUUGAUUCCUCAGCACCA